rnacentral:rRNA from 1 species
CCUACGGGCGGCAGCAGUGGGGGAUAUUGCACAAUGGGGGAAACCCUGAUGCAGCGACGCCGCGUGGGCGAAGAAGUAUUUCGGUAUGUAAAGCCCUAUCAGCAGGGAAGAAGAAAUGACGGUACCUGAGCAAGAAGCACCGGCUAAAUACGUGCCAGCAGCCGCGGUAAUACGGAUGGUGCACGCGUUAUCCGGAUUUACUGGGGGUAAAGGGAGCGCAGGCGGCACGGCAAGCCUGAUGUGAAAGCCCGCGGCCCAACCGCGGGACUGCAGUGGGAACUACCGGGCUGGAGUGCCGGAGAGGUAGGCGGAAUGCCUAGUGUAGCGGUGAAAUGCGUAGAUAUUAGGAGGAACACCAGUGGCGAAGGCGGCCUACUGGACGGUGACUGACGCUGAGGCUCGAAAGCGUGGGGAGCAAACAGGAUUAGAUACCCGAGUAGUC